AACCCACUGGUUCCGUUGUUGGUGGUGUUUGUCUAACCCUACGCCCGCUGUCAUUCUACCCACUGGUUCCGUCGUUGGUGGUGUUUGUCUAACCCUACGCCCGCUGUCAUUCUACCCACUGGUUCCGUCGUUGGUGGUGUUUGUCUAACCCUACGCCCGCUGUCAUUCUACCCACUGGUUCCGUUGUUGGUGGUGUUUGUCUAACCCUACGCCCGCUGUCAUUCUACCCACUGGUUCCGUCGUUGGUGGUGUUUGUCUUACUCCAUGCCCACUGUCAUUCUACCCACUGGUUCCGUCGUUGGUGGUGUUUGUCUAACCCUACGCCCGCUGUCAUUCUACCCACUGGUUCCGUUGUUGGUGGUGUUUGUCUUACUCCAUGCCCACUGUCAUUCUACCCACUGGUGCCAUAGUUGGUGGUGUUUGUCUAACCCUACGCCCGCUGUCAUUCUACCCACUGGUUCCGUUGUUGGUGGUGUUUGUCUAACCCUACGCCCGCUGUCAUUCUACCCACUGGUUCCGUCGUUGGUGGUGUUUGUCUAACCCUACGCCCGCUGUCAUUCUACCCACUGGUUCCGUCGUUGGUGGUGUUUGUCUAACCCUACGCCCGCUGUCAUUCUACCCACUGGUUCCGUUGUUGGUGGUGUUUGUCUAACCCUACGCCCGCUGUCAUUCUACCCACUGGUUCCGUUGUUGGUGGUGUUUGUCUAACCCUACGCCCGCU
rnacentral:sRNA from 1 species